AAGAAACCAACAGGGAUUGCCUUAGUAACGGCGAGUGAAGCGGCAACAGCUCAAAUUUGAAAUCUGGCUCUUUCAGAGUCCGAGUUGUAAUUUGCAGAGGGCGCUUUGGCGUUGGCAGCGGUCCAAGUUCCUUGGAACAGGACGUCACAGAGGGUGAGAAUCCCGUACGUGGUCGCUAGUCAUCGCCGUGUAAAGCCCCUUCGACGAGUCGAGUUGUUUGGGAAUGCAGCUCUAAAUGGGAGGUAAAUUUCUUCUAAAGCUAAAUACUGGCCAGAGACCGAUAGCGCACAAGUAGAGUGAUCGAAAGAUGAAAAGCACUUUGGAAAGAGAGUCAAACAGCACGUGAAAUUGUUGAAAGGGAAGCGCUUGCAGCCAGACUUGCCUGUAGUUGCUCAUCCGGGCUUUUGCCCGGUGCACUCUUCUGCGGGCAGGCCAGCAUCAGUUUGGGCGGUUGGAUAAAGGUCUCUGUCAUGUACCUCUCUUCGGGGAGAACUUAUAGGGGAGACGACAUACAACCAGCCUGGACUGAGGUCCGCGCAUUUGCUAGGAUGCUGGCGUAAUGGCUGUAAGCGGCCCGUCUUGAAACACGGACCAAGGAGUCUAACAUCUAUGCGAGUGUUUGGGUGUCAAGCCCGAGCGCGUAAUGAAAGUGAACGGAGGUGGGACCCCGUAAGGGUGCACCAUCGACCGAUCCUGAUGUCUUCGGAUGGAUUUGAGUAAGAGCAUGGCUGUUGGGACCCGAAAGAUGGUGAACUAUGCUUGAAUAGGGUGAAGCCAGAGGAAACUCUGGUGGAGGCUCGCAGCGGUUCUGACGUGCAAAUCGAUCGUCAAAUUUGGGCAUAGGGGCGAAAGACUAAUCGAACUAUCUAGUAGCUGGUU
rnacentral:rRNA from 1 species